rnacentral:lncRNA from 1 species
AGUCUUCUGACAGUGGAGCCUGGUAACCACCACCUCCUCUCCAGGUCCUGUGUAUUGCUGGCUGGAGAAGGGUAGUUGACAAACUCCCACCCAGCACAGUGUGUAUGUCUGUCAAAAAUAGGAAACUGUGUCCGGUGGCGGCCGAGACGGGAGGAUCCUUUCAGGCCAAGAGCAGCCUGUUAACCUGGCGCGACCCCAUCUCUUUAGUCUCACCUCAGCUUCCCAGCUACUUGAACCCCGGUUCAAGGCUCCAGUGAGCUAUGACCCCACCACAGCACUCCAGCCUGCGAGACUGAGUUUCACACUUGUUGUUUAGGCUGGAGUUGCAAUCUCAGCUCACCACAACCUCUGCCUCCCAGAUUCAAGAAAUUCUCCUGCCUCAGCCUCCCAAGUAGCUGGGACUACAGGGGUGCAUCACCACGCCCAGCUGGGGUUUCGCUGUUGUCACCCAUGCUGGAGUGCAAUGGUGUGAUCCUGGCUCACGGCAAUCUCUGCCUCCCAGGUUCAAGUG